rnacentral:lncRNA from 1 species
AGUAAUGCAGCUCCACCAUGGCCAACCCUUUCUCUGCUUUCCCACCAGGCCAAGCCAAGGACCAGUUAGAGUCUAACUGUAUCUUUAACUUUUAAAAUUUGGCCUAUCCUGCUUGUGAUCAUUCCACUUGAGACCAGUAUAACACAGUUGCUUGGACCACCUAUUUCACAUGUGCAGUUCAUCAAAGGUAUGCAGAGGAAAGCAUACUUGUCACCUGGCCAUGCACCUUGGCCAGUUUGGACAAUGAUCCUGAGUCUCCAUAAAUAUGCAAGAGAGAUUAAUAGGAGAGAGUCCCAGAGAAGUCAGGAUCUGAGCCCCGGGCACUGAGAACACAGGUUGUGCUGACCCCGGGCUAGCAGGCCACAGUAAUCACUGUGUGGAUCAGAGACAAAUGGAUAUGCGAAGCAGAAAUACAGUUAUGUGCAUGUCAUUAUUUCUGUGAUUGAAUUGGUUUAACUUGGGCAUUUUAUCACAUCUGUCAUUUGUUUCAACAGCCUCUCAAUAAACAAUAAAAAGACCCUGGAUUUCAAUUAACAAGAGAAAUUCUUGGAUGGCAAAAAGAAUUAAAAGAGAAAUGAGGGAAACAGUGCAGGAUAAGUCUAGAAUAUUUGGAAGGAAGGCAGGAAGGCAAGCAAGCAACCAGUGACUCCCCAAAUUCAGCUUUGUGUUUAUUAUAUUUUCCCCAGCUUUUCUGGUCCUCCAAUUUCCUAGCUAGUACUGUGAUAGAUAGUUUUCAGAUUCUGACCAGGCUGACUUUGUGAUUUCCCUCCAUUUUUUCCUCUUCCCACUCCCCUUUUAUGGAUUAACAACCCUCAGAGAGCCUUGACAGAGA